CACGUAGGGGCCAAGCGUUGUCCGGAUUUAUUGGGCGUAAAGAGCUCGUAGGCGGCUCGGUAAGUCGGGUGUGAAACCUCCAGGCUCAACCUGGAGACGCCACCCGAUACUGCUGUGGCUAGAGUCCGGUAGGGGAGCGUGGAAUUCCUGGUGUAGCGGUGAAAUGCGCAGAUAUCAGGAGGAACACCAGCGGCGAAGGCGGCGCUCUGGGCCGGAACUGACGCUGAGGAGCGAAAGCGUGGGGAGCGAACAGG
rnacentral:rRNA from 1 species